GACGAACGCUGGCGGCGUGCUUAACACAUGCAAGUCGAACGGAAAGGCCCUGCUUUUGUGGGGUGCUCGAGUGGCGAACGGGUGAGUAACACGUGAGUAACCUGCCUUUGACUUUGGGAUAACUUCAGGAAACUGGGGCUAAUACCGGAUAGGAGCUCCUGCUGCAUGGUGGGGGUUGGAAAGUUUCGGCGGUUGGGGAUGGACUCGCGGCUUAUCAGCUUGUCGGUGGGGUAGUGGUUUACCAAGGCUUUGACGGGUAGCCGGCCUGAGAGGGUGACCGGCCACAUUGGGACUGAGAUACGGCCCAGACUCCUACGGGAGGCAGCAGUGGGGAAUAUUGCACAAUGGGCGGAAGCCUGAUGCAGCAACGCCGCGUGCGGGAUGACGGCCUUCGGGUUGUAAACCGCUUUCGCCUGUGACGAAGCGUGAGUGACGGUAAUGGGUAAAGAAGCACCGGCUAACUACGUG
rnacentral:rRNA from 1 species